AAAAUAAUCCCUCUGUCUUAAAAUUUAUGUUUUAGAUUUAUCUAGAUAUAAAUGUAUCUAGUCAUGUUUUAAUAUUUAGAUACAUUUAUUUUUAAACAAAAUUAAGACAAAAAUAUUAGGACGAAGGGAGUAUAUU
rnacentral:pre_miRNA from 1 species